UACGUAGGGUGCAAGCGUUAAUCGGAAUUACUGGGCGUAAAGCGUGCGCAGGCGGUUUCGCAAGUCAGAUGUGAAAUCCCCGGGCUCAACCUGGGAACUGCAUUUGAAACUACGAGGCUAGAGUGUGUCAGAGGGGGGUAGAAUUCCACGUGUAGCAGUGAAAUGCGUAGAGAUGUGGAGGAAUACCGAUGGCGAAGGCAGCCCCCUGGGAUAACACUGACGCUCAUGCACGAAAGCGUGGGGAGCAAACAGG
rnacentral:rRNA from 2 species